rnacentral:rRNA from 1 species
AACGAACGCUGGCGGCAGGCUUAACACAUGCAAGUCGAGCGCCCCGCAAGGGGAGCGGCAGACGGGUGAGUAACGCGUGGGAAUCUACCCAUCUCUACGGAAUAACGCAUGGAAACGUGUGCUAAUACCGUAUACGUCCUUCGGGAGAAAGAUUUAUCGGAGAUGGAUGAGCCCGCGUUGGAUUAGCUAGUUGGUGGGGUAAAGGCCUACCAAGGCGACGAUCCAUAGCUGGUCUGAGAGGAUGUUCAGCCACACUGGGACUGAGACACGGCCCAGACUCCUCCGGGAGGGAGCGGUGGUGAAUAUUGGACAAUGGGCGCAAGACUGAUCCAGCCAUGCCGCGUGAGUGAUGAAGGCCCUAGGGUUGUAAAGCUCUUUCACCGGUGAAGAUAAUGACGGUAACCGGAGAAGAAGCCCCGGCUAACUUCGUGCCAGCAGCCGCCGUAAUAC